rnacentral:lncRNA from 1 species
AGACAUCCCCUCUGGAUGUGAGCGCAGGCGCUGCUGGCACAUCCCGGCCCAGCAGCUGUCAUCAGGACACCCUGCGUAACAGCCGGAUGGAUGUCUGCUAGAACACUAAGCCUGAUUCUACAUUGGAUUAAGGGAUUGUAUUUAAGAAAAGGACUUCCAAAAAGGAGGGAUGCCACUGUGGUAUGGGUGGAUCAAAUGUAGAGUGAGUUCAGUCCCUGCUCUUUGUGGCUUAAAAUCUCCAUGAACAAGGGGCUGAUACCUGUUGUGCCUCUUUCCUGCCAUGCCCUGGAGUGGGUCAAAUGGGAUGGACAGUGUCUUCUCCAGAUGGAUGAUGACUCCUCAAGAAAGCGAAGCAGCUUAGCCUCAAAUGAAGCUUACAUAAAAAUAAAUAAAUAUCCCCCUACCCCUUGCUAAUAUAAGUGCUUGUGUACUACAGCAAAAACUUCCAGACAGGGUAUUUUGGCCCCAAUUCCAUUCCAUUCCAUUCCAUUCCAUUCCAUUCCAUUCCAUUCCAUUCCAUUCCAUUCCAUUCCAUUCCAUUCCAUUCCAUUCCAUUCCAUUCCAUUCCAUUCCAUUCCAUUCCAUUCCAUUCCAUUCCAUUCCAUUCCAUUCCAUUCCAUUCCAUUCCAUUCCAUUCCAUUCCAUUCCAUUCCAUUCCAUUCCAUUCCAUUCCAUUCCAUUCCAUUCCAUUCCAUUCCAUUCCAUUCCAUU